UACGGGGGGGAGCAAGCGUUGUUCGGAUUUACUGGGCGUAAAGCGUGCGUAGGCGGUUCUCCAAGUCCGUUGUGAAAUCCCCGGGCUUAACCUGGGAAUGGCAGUGGAAACUAGGGGACUUGAAUCUGGCAGAGGGGGGUGGAAUUCCACGUGUAGCAGUGAAAUGCGUAGAGAUGUGGAGGAACACCGAUGGCGAAGGCAGCCCCCUGGGCUGAGAUUGACGCUGAGUGCACGAAAGCGUGGGGAGCAAACAGG
rnacentral:rRNA from 1 species